rnacentral:rRNA from 1 species
UGGGGUGCUCGAGUGGCGAACGGGUGAGUAACACGUGAGUAACCUGCCCUUGACUUUGGGAUAACUUCAGGAAACUGGGGCUAAUACCGGAUAGGGGCUACUGCUGCAUGGUGGGGGUUGGAAAGUUUCGGCGGUUGGGGAUGGACUCGCGGCUUAUCAGCUUGUUGGUGGGGUAGUGGCUUACCAAGGCUUUGACGGGUAGCCGGCCUGAGAGGGUGACCGGCCACAUUGGGACUGAGAUACGGCCCAG